CACACAUCACAUAAAUAAAUACUGUAGCAUGAAUGCAUCAAUAUGUUUCUAAACUUAUAUUAAAUUUUAAUUUCUCUAAAAUUAUUAUUUUUUUUCUUAUAUUUUGAUGCUCACAAAAUUGACACAAUAAAUCAAAUUUCAACUAUUUUAAAAACAAGCAAAUUUUAGGGUGUUACAAUAACCCUUUAAAUUUGCUUUAAAUUAUCCCUGUUGGCCAUUAUAAAACAUAAUUUAAAAUAACACCAUAUCAUUGCAUGUAAAUUACCUAACUUUGCCAUUAUAAAAUAAUAUUCUAUAACAAUAAAUUUCAUAAGUUAUUAUUUUAAGUAAGUUUAUAUAUUUUUACUAAAAUAUUAUUUCAUAUUAAUAUUAUUAAUUUUAUGUACUCUAUGAUAUACAAAUAAUACUACACACAUAUAAUACUUUGAUAUAACAAAUUCAACAUGUUUAGUGUCAGGAUGCAAGCCGAGUUUGAACUUACGUGGAAACAAAUAGAUAGAGAUAAGUAGAAUAUCUAAUUAACAUGUGAAAAAUGCAACAAUUGAUUAAAAGUUAAAGAUAAACUAUAGAUUUAUGAAGAUACAAAAAGGAUUGUAUCAAAAGUUUAUAUAUCUUAAGACUAGAUUUCAACUAAAUAUUCCCACUAGAAAAAUAUAAAUACUACAAAUUCCAACUAGAGGUCCUCGCUGGAGCCUGCGUGUUAAUCCUCACAAGACUUUAAUUUGAAAUAAAAGAUAACUCAUAUAAAUUCUCAUAAAAAUCAUAAACAUCUUACCAUCAAUUAGGUAUGACCUAAUCACCAUUGAUAGUAAUAAUAGCUAUUAGAUCUAUUAUGUUUUCUUAAUAAUUUUCCAUUUCUUCUAUUGUGUAAAAUAAUAUAAAUUAACUCAUGACUCUAAUUUAUAUUACUCACAUAUGCUGCUAAGAAACAUAUCUUGCAUUUAAGUCUCGAUGUCCUCUUAUUUAAUUUACAUAACUCAAUUUUCAUCUCAUUAUUACAAAAAUUAAAUACCCAUCAAAUAUGCAUCUAAAUUAUGAACAUCUCCUAUUACAAGUUGUUUAGAUAACAAAUAGAGCAUGUAUAUGUUUGUACAUUACCCCCACCUCUAUCAAUAUUUAUAUAGUAAGAUUUGAUUAAAGUAAAUAUAUGUGUCAUGCCAAUAUGCAUGAGCAAAAAAAAUACAUAUGUUAUGUUUCAUCACAUAAAUAAUAUUUUCUUGAUAACUCAUAUACUAAUGAUACUAACAAACUAUUUAAAAUUAUAUUAGUAACCAUAACAUAAUUUACAUAGAUUGUUGCUUUAGAUAUAUUUAUGUAUUUAAUUAAAAUAUUUGAUAUGUCUAUAGUGAUUGUAUAACAAUAACUGUAAAUAUAAUUUCUUGAUGGUGAAAUUCAAUCAUCUUGAGAAGUGUGUGAAACCACCAACUGGCUAUAUUUUUUGGGCCUUUAAGAAUACUUUAGAGUAAAAAAUCGAUUAUUAUAAGGUUAAGUAUUAAAAUUCUUUUAAGAUUAGCACUACUACCCCCAUGUCCGAGAAUUCACUUCAAGCCCCAUGACUUAAGUGGUGUACGUUUCAAAUAAUGGCUGAUGCUAUUGUAGUACUUAAGAACAUAGUCAUGACCUAAAAUCCCUUUUUUUUAAAAGUGGAAAAAGAAGAGUUAAUGAAAUAUACAAUAAGCACAAGAGUUUCAAGUUAACUUAAGAAGAGGAAAAAUUUUGUAUUAGUCGAUAAGAAUAAAAAUUGAAAAAAAACAAAAAAUUGCAUUCAUGACUUCAUAAGAUACAUAACGGAAUAAGAGCCACCAUGAUUAAUGGUAAGGUUUUAAAGUAACUACAUAUUUAAAUUAUAUAGAGGUGCCAUGCAAAAAAAUGAGUGAAUAAAAAAAAUAUUGAUUAGUUCCUUGAAAAAAUAUUAGUUAAUAAGUUUAUGAUAAUUAGAUAUGGACUGCAAAGUAUCUAUUAUAUCUAGUAUGUUAGGAAAUAAACAAAGAGAAAAUAUAUAAUUUAAUAUAAAUAAUUCUUUAUUAGUCGGAUGUACUCUCCUCAUUCUAAAUUAUAAGAUGUUUUGAGGCUAUACUUGUAUUGUCAAGAUAUAUAGUGAAAAUCUAAAAAUGCCAAAAUAUCUUAUAAUUAGAAUGAAUGAAUUACUAAAUAGUACUUUAUAUCUUCUAAAAUUCUAGCAUGUGUAAGAGCAUGGGCUGAUGGACUAGUGUAAUAUAAAGUAAAUGAAUAGUUGAAAUAUGAUCUAAGAGACCGUGUCACUUUAACUUGCGUCGGAUCAAAUGGAACGGAGAGAGUAGCUUAGAGCUAGUACUAGCUCAUAUUGUUGGAGAUCCUAUGAGCUUGUUUAGCACUUAUCCCCAUGUUCCAUCCUCUCAUUCUACUACCCAGAUUUACCAAGUAGUACUCUUGGGCAGGAGUAGUUUUGCAACCACAAAGCGUGUGGCUUGCUUUUCUAUGCUCAGCUGUGUUUAAGUUGUUUCGUAUUGUCAAACGGACGCAGUUAUAGGUCGUUUUGUGUCUUAUUAUUUAUAUUUUAUAUCAGCCUUUGUUUUUUCUUACUAUAUAUCAGAUGUGCCGCUUGUUUGAGUUUCUUUAAAAAAGGACGCAGUUAACAUAAAAUGCAUCAAAACAUGAUCACUCAUUUUUCCCUUCUUUUUUUUUGCUCCGAACAUGUUCUCGUUCCCCACAUACUGUUAGCCACUGCAGAGCUAAAAUAUACUUGUUUUUAAGAUCCCAAGGCGCGUGAUCUCUAACGACUUCCCUAUAUUUGGCUCUCUGUAUCCCUAAUUAAUGAC
rnacentral:lncRNA from 1 species